GGACAUGAGGGCUAUCAGGCUGCGACGCGUGUCACCCCAUUGAUUGCCAGGGUUGAUUUGGCUGAUCUGGCUGUCUAAGCAGGUGUCCCCUUCCUCCCUCACCACUCCACGGGCAUCCCACCCGAAGCUGCAUGCCUUGUGGAAGAAAAUGACCAUCCCCAAGGAGGACCGGUCUUUGGUCAAGGAUAUAGGAGUAGCCGUGCUCUCCUGCUAGAAUCUUCAGACACGCUCUCAAGCUUCAUUUGUAGGAGAAUGUAGGGUAGUCAAACUUCCAAGACCUCAGACACAUCCAAAUGAGGUGUGGCGUGUGGCAGUCUGUUUUU
rfam:Pongo abelii chromosome 16.